UGGGGAAUUUUGGACAAUGGGGGAAACCCUGAUCCAGCCAUCCCGCGUGUGCGAUGAAGGCCUUCGGGUUGUAAAGCACUUUUGGCAGGAAAGAAACGUCGCGGGUUAAUACCCCGCGAAACUGACGGUACCUGCAGAAUAAGCACCGGCUAACUACGUGCCAGCAGCCGCGGUAAUACGUAGGGUGCAAGCGUUAAUCGGAAUUACUGGGCGUAAAGCGUGCGCAGGCGGUUCGGAAAGAAAGAUGUGAAAUCCCAGAGCUUAACUUUGGAACUGCAUUUUUAACUACCGGGCUAGAGUGUGUCAGAGGGAGGUGGAAUUCCGCGUGUAGCAGUGAAAUGCGUAGAUAUGCGGAGGAACACCGAUGGCGAAGGCAGCCUCCUGGGAUAACACUGACGCUCAUGCACGAAAAGCGUGGGGAGCAAAACAGGAUUAGAUACCCUGGUAGUCCACGCCCUAAAACGAUGUCAACUAGCUGUUGGGGCCUUCGGGCCUUGGUAGCGCAGCUAACGCGUGAAGUUGACCGCCUGGGGAGUACGGUCGCAAGAUUAAAAACUCAAAUGAAUUGACGGGGGUCAUAGCUGUUUCC
rnacentral:rRNA from 1 species